rnacentral:rRNA from 1 species
ACAGCAGCAGCCGCGGUAAUGCGUAGGUCCCGAGCGUUGUCCGGAUUUAUUGGGCGUAAAGCGAGCGCAGGCGGUUAGAUAAGUCUGAAGUUAAAGGCUGUGGCUUAACCAUAGUACGCUUUGGAAACUGUUUAACUUGAGUGCAGAAGGGGAGAGUGGAAUUCCAUGUGUAGCGGUGAAAUGCGUAGAUAUAUGGAGGAACACCGGUGGCGAAAGCGGCUCUCUGGUCUGUAACUGACGCUGAGGCUCGAAAGCGUGAGGAGCGAACAGGAUUAGAUACCCCGGUAGUCCCUGUCUCUUAUACA